rnacentral:rRNA from 1 species
UACGUAGGAGGCAAGCGUUAUCCGGAAUGACUGGGCGUAAAGGGUGCGUAGGUGGUUUGGCAAGUUGGUAGCGUAAUCCCGGGGCUUAACUUCGGUGCUACUACCAAAACUGCUGGGCUUGAGUGCAGGAGGGGUGAAUGGAAUUCCUAGUGUAGCGGUGGAAUGCGUAGAUAUUAGGAAGAACACCAGCGGCGAAGGCGAUUCACUGGACUGUAACUGACACUGAGGCACGAAAGCGUGGGGAGCAAACGGG